GAUGCCAAGGAGGUUUUGGCUGAGAAGAACCGUCUCAGUAAGGACACGCUUGAAGCUGAGAGCAGAGCAAUGCUGCAACAGGCAGCUACAGUAUGGAAGAAAAGCCAUUUUUCUCUGUCCCGUCGGGAGGAGACAGCCAGCUGUGACUCACACUCCCUGCUCCCAUCCCCCGGGUUCAUUUUUGACACAGCAGCUAUUGAUAAGACCUUGAAAGAGCAGGAAGUUUCCCUGGCAGAGGUGGCUGGAUGGGCAACGUGUGGUUAUACUGCUAAUGAGCCUAAGUGGAGCACUUUGCUCAAAGGCAUGAACAAGCUCCCAAGCUUUGACUGUACCAUCAACAGCCGCCUGCUCUUGGUGAUCAACUCAGCCCCACCACGCUUCAUGGCCAAAGGGACACUUUCACCAGCACCACCACUAUAAUGGUUUAAUUAUGGGCAGAGAGGAGAGAGAGCUGCCAAGGAGGAGAUCAAGGGACAGGUUGAUGUUCAACCAGAGCAGAAUUUAACAGCAAUAGCAACGUGAGGGUGCGAUAGUGCAACCCCCACCCUGCCCUUUAGGCCUCUGGGUACUUGGCGUGAUUUCCUCCCCACCUGGGUGAGGGAAUGUAAUAAUUGAAAUAAUACAAUGGACCAGAACGUAACAUAAUGGUCUACCAUGAAAGAAAGAAAGAAAGGUGGAGAGCAACAGACUAGAACACUACAGCAACCUCUUAGUGUGCCUGGUCUCCAUGGCUCUCACUGUUUGAAAAUAAUAACAAUAAUAAAUCACGCCUGACAUCAUAUGGAUCGUGGCCACAGAGGAGAAGGAUACCAGGACCCCAAGACGUAGCAAGUUCUGGGCUUGCGUAAUUGGUGGAAAGUACUGGAAUAUUCCAUUGUCCGAGCUGGGCCAGAGUGGAAAAUUACCUGAUGAAAGUCAAUUGUCCCAGAUCCUGUACGUAACGAUUCUAGUAAAGAGCCUUUGAGCACUUGUGGAUCACAGCAGGCUGUGGCCAGUAUCUCCCCUGAGCUGGGACACUGCUUGGGCUGACACCUCAAGAAUCAGAAGGCCAGGGCUUCACCGUGAGCAUCUUACAAAAGCCACUUAGCUCUUUUCAGGCUGGCGUGCGAGAAGAAAUGUGUUCUUUUCACACUGUUCUCACCAGAAAUGCUGAAUAUGCAUCUCCUGCAAGAGCUAUUUUCCUUUCCUGCAACCACAUCCAUGAAUGCCAUCUUCCCCGUUGGUGCAAAUCAGCGUGGUUCCAGCAGUAGUACCAGUGGUGUGUAAACUGGUGUCAUCAGAUGGUCUGGAUCUCAUUUCAAGGCUCUGUGCUCUUCCAUGUGACAUCUGAACCACAAAUAAAAUGUUUAAUAGAGUCAGUUAUGAUCCACGGAUUUCCUACCUCGGCAUUGUUAACAGCUUAUAUCCACUUCCAGCUUUAUAUGAUACUGAUUAUAGCGGCGGAAGUCACACCAUCCAGCGAGUUAGGUGACGUUGUGACUCUUCCUUGACCUCCACAUCAGCACAAGGGUAGCAAACAAAAUGGAUUGUUUAGGUGCUCUUCUUCUACCAUUGUGGUUGAAGUAAAAUUCUUCCAUGAAUUUCAAGUCUCAAAAAAUAAGUUGAAAUGUUAAGUCCCGACAGAGGAAAGGUGCUUCUCUGCAUUCUGGACACCGGUUACUAAAUUCUUAUGUUUUUCAUCUCAAGAAUAUCUUCCUGAUGCCGGAGGAUACGACCAGGAUGCUAAUGAAAACAACACAUGGAAGACCUCAGGAUAAGCCCCAGUGUCUGCUGAAGCUCUGAUCUGGGUCCUAGAGCAAACACAGAUGCAUCUAAAAUAGUUAUCGAAGAAAAACAACUUGUGACUCAAGAAGGAAAGUCUGUACGUGCCUCCAGACUAAUGGCUGGUCUCGGCCAUGGGAUUAACUUCCAGACUUUGCGUAUGAAGAAGCAACGUUUACUAAGAGGAAGGGGGGCUGAACGUCCAAGUGGCCACAAAGGGAGCGUAGCUGAAUAUUUCAUUUAGCUUUUCGAUGGGCAAAUUUUGUACUGAUCACAGGUGAUGAUUUACAAAUAUCCAGAAACAGGUUGAAGCAGACAGAUAAGGAGGAAACAAGAUUAUCUUUUUUUAGCAAUUCACUCAAUGGAGAAACCAAUGUCUGAGCCCAAGAACGCUGCAAGAAGAAAUUUUAAAAGCAAAUCCUCAACGUAGCAGAAAUCUUCCAGCCCAGCUUCACGCUAUUCAGUGUGCUGGGUGACACAUCUAUCACCACCUGCUCUGGCAGCAUUCUCCCAUUUCACAAACAUGGGUUUAAUUAUAUCUGUUGGGUUUGAUUCCUGUAAUUUUUCAGAGGAAAGCACUAAGGAACUAUAAGUGGAUCGGAAAUUAUUUGGUUGGGAGGUUGGGAUUUUUUUUCUUCUUUUUCUUUAUUUCUGUCUCAAAAUAUCUCUGGCAUCAUGUGAAGUACUUUUCCAUUGACAUUGGUCACUCAGUAAGUUCUUAGGAAAUUUUGGUUUGCCUUGUGAUAUUUGCCAGUUUGCUCCAUGGAACGCUAUAUUUUUGGGCAGGCUGUAGAAAUACCCAAGAAUUCACAACACAGAUUUCAACAUCUCCCAGUUGGAAGAAUUUUGGAGUGACAGCAGAUUUGUUUUCUAGUCUACACAGUGAGCUGAAUCACCAUCCCACAGCCAACAUCUCCCUACCUUCAGCCUUGUUUCUGGUUAAAUGCUGGAGCUGAAAGCCAGCCCAGGUGUAAUCCUGCAUUUCUUUGCACCAGGUCUGAUGCAUGUGGGGACACAGGACAAAGGCUGGUCCAAAAGCCAAGCUCAAAUUGCCACAAAGCACAUUAGGCACAGACUACCCUAAACUGGAUAGGAAGUUAUUUAGCUGAAUAAAACUUUAAAAAAAAUAAA